rnacentral:rRNA from 1 species
CGGGGAGGUAGUGACGAAAAAUAACGAUACGGGACUCAUCCGAGGCCCCGUAAUCGGAAUGAGUACACUUUAAAUCCUUUAACAAGGAUCCAUUGGAGGGCAAGUCUGGUGCCAGCAGCCGCGGUAAUUCCAGCUCCAAUAGCGUAUAUUAAAGUUGUUGCGGUUAAAAAGCUCGUAGUUGAAUCUGUGUGUCACAGUGUCGGUUCACCGCUCGCGGUGUUUAACUGGCAUUAUGUGGUACGUCCUACCGGUGGGCUUUGCUCUUCACGGGGCGGUCCAACCAAUAUCCCAUCGCGGUGCUCUUCACUGAGUGUCGAGGUGGGCCGGUACGUUUACUUUGAACAAAUUAGAGUGCUCAAAGCAGGCUAUCUUCGCCUGAAUACUGUGUGCAUGGAAUAAUGGAAUAGGACCUCGGUUCUAUUUUGUUGGUUUUCGGAACCCCGAGGUAAUGAUUAAUAGGGACAGAUGGGGGCAUUCGUAUUGCGACGUUAGAGGUGAAAUUCUUGGAUCGUCGCAAGACGGACAGAAGCGAAAGCAUUUGCCAAAAAUGUUUUCAUUAAUCAAGAACGAAAGUUAGAGGUUCGAAGGCGAUCAGAUACCGCCCUAGUUCUAACCAUAAACGAUGCCAGCCAGCGAUCCGCCGAAGUUCCUCCGAUGACUCGGCGGGCAGCUUCCGGGAAACCAAAGCUUUUGGGUUCCGGGGGAAGUAUGGUUGCAAAGCUGAAACUUAAAGGAAUUGACGGAAGGGCACCACCAGGAGUGGAGCCUGCGGCUUAAUUUGACUC